UGACCGUGCGAAGGUAGCAUAAUCAUUAGUCUUUUAAUUGAAGGCUUGUAUGAAUGGUUGGACGAGAAGUAAUCUGUCUCUAUUGAAAAAAUUGAAUUUAACUUUUGAGUGAGAAGGCUUAAAUGAUCUAGAGGGACGAUAAGACCCUAUAAAGUUUAACAUUAUAAUAAUAAAAAGUUGAUUAGGUUAGAAGAACUUAUUAUUGUGAGUAGUGUUUUGUUGGGGCGACAAGAAUAUAAAUAAUUUAACUGUUCUUUUUUGUAUCAAAGAUAUUUGAGUUAAUGAUCUUUUUAAGAGUAUUAGAGUAAAUUACUUUAGGGAUAACAGCGUAAUUUUUUUUGAGAGUUCCUAUCGACAAAAGAGUUUGCGACCUCGAUGUUGAAUUAAAGAUUCUUUAUAAUGUAGAAGUUAUAUAAGAAGGUCUGUUCGACCUUUAAAUCUUUACAUGAUUUGAGUUCAGACCGGUGCGAGCCAGGUUGGUUUCUAUCUA
rnacentral:rRNA from 1 species